GUGAAAUGAUGAUUCAGUUUAUCCAUUCGGCUGAGUGUGCUGCAUUGACCUUCUUCCCAAGCCUCAGUUCCUGUUCUAAGAAACUUUUGGUGCUAUGUAGCCUCCAAAUGCCCUGGCAGAUCUGCAAUGGUCUAUUGCAGAUUGCUUGUGUGGUGGUAGCCCAUCUGAUAAAAAGUGGCUUGAUGUCUACAAAGAAUGAUGCCCAUGUGUGGUUCGAAUUUUUACCCAGAUGAGUGGGGGGCAAAUCUAGAUCAU
rnacentral:snoRNA from 1 species